rnacentral:lncRNA from 1 species
ACAGAAUGAAAAUGAGAAGUAACACUUCAUUCACCUUGUUCUUGAACGUUAAACAUUUGAUUGAGCUAGUGGUCCCUUGGUUUUUUCCCUCUGUCAUUUGCUGAAAAUGAUAUAACUUGUUUGAAGGUUCACGGGAAAGAAACAUUUGCUGCUGAAAAGCCAGCAAAAGGUGUAAGCAUCGUACACAAAUAUAUAUUCAACAUUGGUAUAUUUAAUUUAACUUUUUUCAAGUUUUUCAUGUAUUUUGAAGAUCAUAUCCUUGUAUCCAUGGACGCGAGUGCUUCAAGAAAAGUAAAGACUUGGGGUAACAUAGGUCCCCCCCCAUCCUACCCUCAGG